AUUGAACGCUGGUGGCAGGCCUAACACAUGCAAGUCGAACGAGUGGCGGACGGGUGAGUAAUGUCUGGGAAACUGCCCGAUGGAGGGGGAUAACUACUGGAAACGGUAGCUAAUACCGCAUACCAUCGGAUGUGCCUAGAUGGGAUUAGCGAGGAGGUGGGGUAACGGCGCACCUAGGCGACGCUCCCUCGCUGGUCUGAGAGGAUGACCAGCAACACUGGAACUGUGACACGGUCCAGGCUCCUACGGGAGGCAGCAGUGGGGAAUAUUGCACAAUGGGCGCAAGCCUGAUGCAGCCAUGCCGCGUGUAUGAAGAAGGCCUUCGGGUUGUAAAGUACUGUCAGCGAGGAGGCGUUACUCGCAGAAGAAGCACCGGCUAACUCCGUGCCAGCAGCCGCGGUAAUUC
rnacentral:rRNA from 1 species